GAAGCUCAGUGAGGUCAUGGCACUUACCUAAGGUAGCACAGCCUAUUGGUGGGGGAUCUGGAAGGCAGACCCAACUCCUUCCAGCACCAAAGACCCUGUUGUUCUCCUUGGCCCUCUAACAACUCCCAGAAGGCGGCCUCAGGAGCUGACUCAUAGGGAGCUAAACACCUGAUCCCACCUUUGGGACUGGCAUGUGGAGACAGGAAGUUGCCACUGUAAACCUACCAAAGGAGCACUGACUACAAAGCCAGGUGACAGCAAGUGUUGUGGAGGAUGUGGAGCAAGGAAGGCUCUCCUCCAUUGCCAGAACACUUUGGAAAUAGUCAUUUUGUAGAGCAUGCACGUGGACCUCACCCAGCUAUUCCACUCCUGCAGCUAUCCCCAGAGAAACUCAUGCCUUCAGAGACAGAAAGUAAGACUGAGGAAUGCAACCACACAUGGAUGAGCUUUUUCACAAGAUAAUGCCUGCCUGUCG
rnacentral:lncRNA from 1 species